rnacentral:tRNA from 1 species
GGGGUAUUAGCUCAGUUGGUAGAGCAGCCGCCUUAUAAGCGGAAAGUCGCGGGUUCGAAUCCCGCAUGCUAAA